rnacentral:rRNA from 1 species
GUAGCUGGUCUGAGAGGAUGGCCAGCCACACUGGAACUGAGACACGGUCCAGACUCCUACGGGAGGCAGCAGUGGGGAAUAUUGGACAAUGGGGGSAACCCUGAUCCAGCAAUGCCGCGUGUGUGAAGAAGGCCUGAGGGUUGUAAAGCACUUUCAGUGGGGAGGAGGGUUGAUAGGUUAAGAGCUAGUUAACUGGACGUUACCCACAGAAGAAGCACCGGCUAACUCCGUGCCAGCAGCCGCGGUAAUACGGAGGGUGCGAGCGUUAAUCGGAAUUACUGGGCGUAAAGGGUGCGUAGGUGGUUUGAUAAGUUAUCUGURAAAKCCCWGGGCUYAACCUKGGAAGGCCAGAUAAUACUGUUGAACUGGAGUAUGG